rnacentral:misc_RNA from 1 species
AACGGUCUAUACCUGCGGUACCUGCGGAGGGAUCAUUACCGAGUGUAACCCCCCGAUAAAAAGGGGGGUACCUCCCGUCCUUUGCUGGGUCCCCUUUGGGGGCUUUCGACUUCUGCUUCGGCGGGGUUACCCGCCGGAACACACUCAAAAAUCUUUUGUUAAACUGUUCAGUCCGAGGGCCUUUAAAAAUUUAUGAAAAACUUUCAACAACGGAUCUCU